UACGUAGGGGGCAAGCGUUGUCCGGAUUUAUUGGGCGUAAAGAGCGUGUAGGCGGCUUGACAAGUCUGCUGUGAAAACUUGAGGCUCAACCUCAAGCUGUCGGCGGAAACUGUCAGGCUAGAGUCCGGAGGAGGAGAGUGGAAUUCCUGGUGUAGCGGUGAAAUGCGCAGAUAUCAGGAAGAACACCUAUGGCGAAGGCAGCUCUCUGGGACGGUACUGACGCUGAGACGCGAAAGCGUGGGGAGCGAACAGG
rnacentral:rRNA from 1 species